UGAGCGAUAGUCGCAGCUCUCUUGCCGCUCCUCGCUGGCGGCCUUCGACUUCCUGAUCCUUCUCUAGGGUUUUGCGUUAGCUUGCGGACCUUGAGAGGAGUUAAAAGCAGUGAGACGUCAGGGACCGAGACUGCGGAUACCUGAGGGACCUUUGUCUGAGGGACAGGCUCUUACCCUGCAGGAGUCUUAUGGCCUCUAGCCUGCUCUUAAAGAGUUCUUUUUACCCCUGUUAUGCCCCCCUCCCGACUCUCUUUACUCAGUAUCUCUCUGGCCUUAAUGAAACGAAAUACGGCAAGAUAGAUGAGAAAGCUGAGGUCAGAAAGAUAAACUGAGAAGCCCGUUCUGGAAGAGAAGUGCAAGUAUCUGAUGUCCAGAAACAAGGAAGCAGUAGCCUCAGAAGCUUCCCAGCCACCUCUGCCCCACCACCACUGCUGUCAUUCAGAUUCUUCUUCCCCUGCCCUUGCCUGAGGGAGGGGAGGAAGGAAGGGCGAAGGAAGGACAAAGCAGAAUUCCAGGAGGAUUCUCUCGGCUGUCAUCUUUGCCAGUGAAAUUUAAGAUGUAUCAUUUUCUAUUUCUACAGAAGUUUUUGCUGAUUUUCUAGUAAAGCCUUCAUUGAUGUGCCAAAAAAAAAAAUUAUGUAGACAACCCCAGUGACCACGUCUGUGACUUUUCUUUCAUCAGAUAUCAAUCACAGCCUUAUUCAACUUAGCUAGCAUGAACUUUUAAUAAAAUCUGUGUUAACAGGUUUCAAACAUUUCAUCACUUGGUGUUUACAUAUUGAUUUUCUUUAUAGUGUUCUUAAAUCUUAAUUUAAAAAUGGGUGUUAACCCUUUUAACAUGCUGCGUUUUCUUUCUUUUCCUUUCUUAUAGACCUAUCAUUUUCUGUGUUUUGCUCAUUGAAUAGCCCUCUUGACUCUUGAGAUAUAUAAUGCUUUUCUAUUUUACCCAACCUUU